GUCUGUGGCGUAAUGGUUUGAGCAUUGCACUGUGACUCUGAAGGCCAGGAUUCAAAUCCCUGCUCAGCCA